rnacentral:tRNA from 1 species
GCGGGAAUAGCUCAGUUGGUAGAGCACGACCUUGCCAAGGUCGGGGUCGCGAGUUCGAGUCUCGUUUCCAGUU